GUAGUACUUUCUCCGUCCGGAAAAGUUUGUCCCUCAAAUGGAUGUAUCUAGUAUCAAUUUAGUACUACAUACAUCCAUUUGAGGGACAAGCUUGGGACGAGCUUUUUUGGACGGAGGAAGUACGUG
rfam:Triticum aestivum genome assembly, contig: Triticum_aestivum_CS42_TGACv1_scaffold_225491_3B